GACGAACCGUCCUAACGUUGUUCGGAAUCACUGGGCGUAAAGGGUGCGUAGGCGGGUCUUUAAGUCAGGGGUGAAAUCCUGGAGCUCAACUCCAGAACUGCCUUUGAUACUGAAGAUCUUGAGUCCGGGAGAGGUGAGUGGAACUGCGAGUGUAGAGGUGAAAUUCGUAGAUAUUCGCAAGAACACCAGUGGCGAAGGCGGCUCACUGGCCCGAUACUGACGCUGAGGCACGAAAGCGUGGGGAGCAAACAGG
rnacentral:rRNA from 1 species